AGCUGAAACUUAAAGGAAUUGACGGAAGGGCACCACCAGGAGUGGAGCCUGCGGCUUAAUUUGACUCAACACGGGAAAACUUACCUGGCCCGGACACUGGAAGGAUUGACAGAUUAAGAGCUCUUUCUUGAUUCAGUGGGUGGUGGUGCAUGGCCGUUCUUAGUUGGUGGAGCGAUUUGUCUGGUUAAUUCCGAUAACGAACGAGACUCUAGCCUACUAAAUAGGGGACCGAUCAAUUGUUGUCGGUCCGUCUUCUUAGAGGGACAAGCGGCUUUUAGCCGCACGAGACAGAGCAAUAACAGGUCUGUGAUGCCCUUAGAUGUCCGGGGCCGCACGCGCGCUACACUGAAGGAAGCAGCGUGCUCAUCGCUGUCCGGCAGGACUGCGUAACCCCUAUAACCUCCUUCGUGAUAGGGAUAGGGGCUUGUAAUUGUUCCCCUUGAACGAGGAAUUCCCAGUAAGCGCGAGUCAUAAGCUCGUGUUGAUUACGUCCCUGCCCUUUGUACACACCGCCCGUCGCUACUACCGAUUGAAUGAUUUAGUGAGGUCUUCGGACUGGCGCUCGGAGCGACCUUCGGGUUGCGCCGGCGUGCCGGAAAGAUGACCAAACUUGAUCAUUUAGAGGAAGUAAAAGUCGUAACAAGGUUUCC
rnacentral:rRNA from 1 species